UGUGUGUUGUGUGUGUGGUGUGUGUGUGUGUGUGUGUGUGUGUGUGUGUGUGUACACACCACACACACACCACACACACACACACACACACACACACAUAUAUAUAUAUAUAUAUAUAUAUAUAUAUAUAUAUAUAUAUAUUAUAUAUAUAUACAUACAUAUAUAUAUAUAUAU
rnacentral:snoRNA from 1 species